GACGAACGCUGGCGGCGUGCCUAAUACAUGCAAGUCGAACGCAGUGGGGACAGGUGAGUAACACGUGGGUAACCUCCCGUCAGAGGGGAUAACAAUUGGAAACAGGUGCUAAACCCAUACUGAUGUAUGGACUCGCUGUGACUUAGCUAGUGGGGGGGGUAGAGGCUCACCAAGGCCACGAUGCCUAGCCGCCCUGAGAGGGUGAUCGGCCACACUGGGACUGAGACACGGCCCAGACUCCUACGGGAGGCAGCAGUGGGGAAUCUUCGGCAAUGGACGAAAGUCUGACCGAGCAACGCCGCGUGAGUGAAGAAGGUUUUCGGAUCGUAAAACUCUGUUGUUAGAGAAGCGGUAUCUAACCAGAAAGCCACGGCUAACUACGUGCCAGCAGCCGCGGUAAUUC
rnacentral:rRNA from 1 species